rnacentral:rRNA from 1 species
CAGGGAUUGCCCUAGUAACGGCGAGUGAAGCGGCAACAGCUCAAAUUUGAAAUCUGGCUCUCGGGCCCGAGUUGUAAUUUGUAGAGGAUACUUUUGAUGCGGUGCCUUCCGAGUUCCCUGGAACGGGACGCCAUAGAGGGUGAGAGCCCCGUCUGGUUGGAUGCCAAAUCUCUGUAAAGUUCCUUCGACGAGUCGAGUAGUUUGGGAAUGCUGCUCUAAAUGGGAGGUAUAUGUCUUCUAAAGCUAAAUACCGGCCAGAGACCGAUAGCGCACAAGUAGAGUGAUCGAAAGAUGAAAAGCACUUUGAAAAGAGAGUUAAAAAGUACGUGAAAUUGUUGAAAGGGAAGCGUUUAUGACCAGACUUGGGCUUGGUUAAUCAUCUGGGGUUCUCCCCAGUGCACUUUUCCAGUCCAGGCCAGCAUCAGUUUUCCCCGGGGGAUAAAGACUUCGGGAAUGUGGCUCUCUUCGGGGAGUGUUAUAGCCCGUUGUGUAAUACCCUGGGGGGGACUGAGGUUCGCGCAUCUGCAAGGAUGCUGGCGUAAUGGUCAUCAACGACCCGUCUUGAAACACGGACCAAGGAGUCGUCUUCGUAUGCGAGUGUUCGGGUGUCAAACCCCUACGCGUAAUGAAAGUGAACGCAGGUGAGAGCUUCGGCGCAUCAUCGACCGAUCCUGAUGUUCUCGGAUGGAUUUGAGUAAGAGCAUACGGGGCCGGACCCGAAAGAAGGUGAACUAUGCCUGUAUAGGGUGAAGCCAGAGGAAACUCUGGUGGAGGCUCGCAGCGGUUCUGACGUGCAAAUCGAUCGUCAAAUAUGGGCAUGGGGGCGAAAGACUAAUCGAACCUUCUAGUAGCUGGUUUCCGCCGAAGUUUCCCUCAGGAUAGCAGUGUUGAACUCAGUUUUAUGAGGUAAAGCGAAUGAUUAGGGACUCGGGGGCGCUAUUUAGCCUUCAUCCAUUCUCAAACUUUAAAUAUGUAAGAAGCUCUUGUUGCUUAAUUGAACGUGAGCAUUCGAAUGUAUCAACACUAGUGGGCCAUUUUUGGUAAGCAGAACUGGCGAUGCGGGAUGAACCGAACGCGAGGUUAAGGUGCCAGAGUAGACGCUCAUCAGACACCACAAAAGGUGUUAGUACAUCUUGACAGCAGGACGGUGGCCAUGGAAGUCGGAAUCCGCUAAGGACUGUGUAACAACUCACCUGCCGAAUGUACUAGCCCUGAAAANGGAUGGCGCUCAAGCGUCUCACCCAUACCU